UUGCAGGUCAUUGUCAGCGAGGCUUAGCCUACAGUGGCUCUGUCCUUUCCUAAAGUGUCUGCUAGAAUGAACUGAGAUGGUUUGAGGCCUUGCUGUGUUUCUCCAUGGCAAGGUUAUAGGUAAACCUCAGACAAAU